rnacentral:rRNA from 1 species
CGGGUUGCGGACAGUGUCUGGUGGGUAGUUUGACUGGGGCGGUCUCCUCCUAAAGAGUAACGGAGGAGCACGAAGGUUGGCUAAUCCUGGUCGGACAUCAGGAGGUUAGUGCAAUGGCAUAAGCCAGCUUGACUGCGAGCGUGACGGCGCGAGCAGGUGCGAAAGCAGGUCAUAGUGAUCCGGUGGUUCUGAAUGGAAGGGCCAUCGCUCAACGGAUAAAAGGUACUCCGGGGAUAACAGGCUGAUACCGCCCAAGAGUUCAUAUCGACGGCGGUGUUUGGCACCUCGAUGUCGGCUCAUCACAUCCUGGGGCUGAAGUAGGUCCCAAGGGUAUGGCUGUUCGCCAUUUAAAGUGGUACGCGAGCUGGGUUUAGAACGUCGUGAGACAGUUCGGUCCCUAUCUGCCGUGGGCGCUGGAGAACUGAGGGGGGCUGCUCCUAGUACGAGAGGACCGGAGUGGACGCAUCACUGGUGUUCGGGUUGUCAUGCCAAUGGCACUGCCCGGUAGCUAAAUGCGGAAGAGAUAAGUGCUGAAAGCAUCUAAGCACGAAACUUGCCCCGAGAUGAGUUCUCCCUGACUCCUUGAGAGUCCUGAAGGAACGUUGAAGACGACGACGUUGAUAGGCCGGGUGUGUAAGCGCAGCGAUGCGUUGAGCUAACCGGUACUAAUGAACCGUGAGGCUUAACCUU